UACGUAGGGGGCAAGCGUUGUCCGGAUUUAUUGGGCGUAAAGAGCGUGUAGGCGGUUUGGUAUGUCCGUUGUGAAAUCUCGGAGCUUAACUCCGAAACUGCAUUCGAUACUGCCGUGCUUGAGGACUGGAGAGGAGACUGGAAUUUACGGUGUAGCGGUGAAAUGCGUAGAUAUCGUAAGGAAGACCAGUGGCGAAGGCGGGUCUCUGGACAGUUCCUGACGCUGAGGCACGAAGGUCAGGGGAGCAAACGGG
rnacentral:rRNA from 1 species